AUUGAACGCUGGCGGCAUGCUUUACACAUGCAAGUCGAACGGCAGCACGGACUUCGGUCUGGUGGCGAGUGGCGAACGGGUGAGUAAUACAUCGGAACGUGCCCAGUUGUGGGGGAUAAUUACUCGAAAGAGUAGCUAAUACCGCAUGAGAACUGAGGUUGAAAGCAGGGGAUCGUAAGACCUUGCGCAACUGGAGCGGCCGAUGGCAGAUUAGGUAGUUGGUGGGAUAAAAGCUUACCAAGCCGACGAUCUGUAGCUGGUCUGAGAGGACGACCAGCCACACUGGGACUGAGACACGGCCCAGACUCCUACGGGAGGCAGCAGUGGGGAAUUUUGGACAAUGGGCGAAAGCCUGAUCCAGCAAUGCCGCGUGCGGGAUGAAGGCCUUCGGGUUGUAAACUGCUUUUGUACGGAACGAAAAGCUUCGGGCUAAUACCCUGGAGUCAUGACGGUACCGUAAGAAUAAGCACCGGCUAACUACGUGCCAGCAGCCGCAGUAACAC
rnacentral:rRNA from 1 species